UACAGAGGGUGCAAGCGUUAAUCGGAAUUACUGGGCGUAAAGCGUGCGCAGGCGGCUUUGCAAGACAGAUGUGAAAGCCCCGGGCUCAACCUGGGAAUUGCAUUUGAAACUGGAAAACUAGAGUACGGCAGAGGGGGAUGGAAUUCCGCGUGUAGCAGUGAAAUGCGUAGAUAUGCGGAGGAACACCAAUGGCGAAGGCAAUCCCCUGGGCCUGUACUGACGCUCAUGCACGAAAGCGUGGGGAGCAAACAGG
rnacentral:rRNA from 1 species